rnacentral:lncRNA from 10 species
AUAACCACUGCCACUCUAUUGCUUUGCUAACAUCUUUGCUGCUCUCUCACCUUGCAAUCUAUUGCAUACAAUUUCCCCAAUUUGGAAGUCUUUACCCACACACUCAUUCUCUCCAACACUUUUAUCAUUCAUUUAAUUUCAAACCACUUAUUGUCCCUUACUUUUUGGGAACACAAUUUGGCGAUGUAAGUGCUUACUUAUUUGUUUCUCUGUCUUUGUCAUUUUCUUCUGAAUAUAUCACGGGCACUUUAGUACUGUUUUAAAUACACAGGUGCUGUUAUAAUACAGGUGCUGUUCUGUGUGUUGAUGUCAUACAAGAAAAGAACAGUUGUUGACUUACAUCUUCUGAAUCUCCCAGCACAGUAGUCCGCAUGAUGGUGUAGGGUACACUUGCCAUUUCAUGUGGUUUUUUAUCUCUAAUUUAUCAAUCCAUGGUCUCAUGUGAUUAUCAUUAAAUCAAUAUUUUCACCUAACUCCUUGAAUCCAAGGCAACACGCAUACAUACAAUUUUUGAUAAUUUUUAACCUUACAUUCAAGGCCUUGCACAACUAGUUCCUUGUUUAUUUCGCCGACCUCAUCUCUAUCUACCUCUCUACCCAAAUCAGCACUCCCAAUAGUCGGCACAAGAAAAGUUGCUUUUCACUUUUCCCAAUUUCUGGGUUUCAGAAUUUUAGGACUUCCUUAUAAACAGCAAUGCAGAGGAUCCUAAGCAAGACAAUGUAAAUAAAAUAUUCCAAGAUUCUUUACUCAAAGAUGACACCAGCCAAAGUCAGCAAAAGAAGUAACAAGUCAAUGGUUACCGGAAAUUCUUUCCUCUCUGUCUUUGGCACAAACUCUCUCCAAGGGAAGCUUUAA